GCAUUUUUGAAGAAUAAAUAUUUAAUGUUUUGACAACAUGAUAAAUACAAUAUUUACCGCUCUUUUUUUCUAAUGAAACACAAGAAUAACUAAUUCCACCAUAGUUUGUACCCGUAGUAUCACAGAAAGAAGCUUGAAUAUAUUUCGUAACGUAACGUUUAUUAUUUACAUAGUAUAUUCGCCUGGAUCCUAAUUUUUGAAAUGAAUUGUACAUUAUUUGACAUAUUAAUCGCAUUCAGUAUGAUGAUAAAAUCAUUGAAGGCAAUUAAUUUAUAUUGAAAUCUUUAUUUUUAAACUCGUAUGGAUAAAAUUAUAUCAUUUAUCGAAUGCGAUAAAGUGUGUCACAAAAGCCACAGUAGUUCAUAUCAUAACAAUUUUACAUACGAUGUUUUAACCUCGCAAUGUAAUAAUUAUGUGAUUUUUAUUAUUAGACAAAUUUGAUGUAGCUUCAUGGCCACUAAUGAAGUUGUUUUUAUACAUUAAUUUUUUUAUUACACUUGUCAAAUUUUCAAAACUCAC